UACGUAGGGUGCGAGCGUUGUCCGGAAUUACUGGGCGUAAAGAGCUCGUAGGUGGUUUGUCGCGUUGUUCGUGAAAACUCACAGCUCAACUGUGGGCGUGCGGGCGAUACGGGCAGACUGGAGUACUGCAGGGGAGACUGGAAUUCCUGGUGUAGCGGUGGAAUGCGCAGAUAUCAGGAGGAACACCGGUGGCGAAGGCGGAUCUCUGGGCCUUACCUGACGCUGAGACGCGAAAGCUAGGGGAGCGAACAGG
rnacentral:rRNA from 1 species